GGACUACCAGGGUAUCUAAUCCCGUUCGCUCCCCUGGCUUUCGCACAUGAGCGUCAGUCACUUCCCAGGAGACUGCCUACGCCUUUGGUGUUCCUCCGGAUAUCUACGCAUUUCACCACUACACCCGGAAUUCCGUCUCCCUCUGAAGCCCUCAAGUCGACCAGUUUUCAAAGUCCUUGCUCAGUUAAGCCGAGCACUGUCACUCCAAACUUGAUCGACCGCCUGCGUGCCCUUUACGCCCAGUAACUCCGGACAACGCUCGCCCCCUACGUAUUACCGCGGCUGCUGGCAC
rnacentral:rRNA from 1 species